AGUGUACUCCCUUCGUCUGGAAAUACUCGAAGAAAUGGAUAAAAAUGAAUGUAUCGAGAACUAAAAUAUGUCUAGAUACAUCCAUUCCUCCGACAAGUAUUUCUGGACGGAGGGAGUAUGAU
rfam:Triticum aestivum genome assembly, contig: Triticum_aestivum_CS42_TGACv1_scaffold_179517_2DS